rnacentral:rRNA from 1 species
UUAAGUUAUUAAGGGCGCACGGUGGAUGCCUUGGCACUAGAAGCCGAUGAAGGACGUUACUAACGACGAUAUGCUUUGGGGAGCUGUAAGUAAGCUUUGAUCCAGAGAUUUCCGAAUGGGGAAACCCAGCAUGAGUUAUGUCAUGUUAUCGAUAUGUGAAUACAUAGCAUAUCAGAAGGCACACCCGGAGAACUGAAACAUCUUAGUACCCGGAGGAAGAGAAAGAAAAUUCGAUUCCCUUAGUAGCGGCGAGCGAAACGGGAAGAGCCCAAACCAACAAGCUUGCUUGUUGGGGUUGUAGGACACUCUAUACGGAGUUACAAAGGACGACAUUAGACGAAUCAUCUGGAAAGAUGAAUCAAAGAAGGUAAUAAUCCUGUAGUCGAAAAUGUUGUCUCUCUUGAGUGGAUCCUGAGUACGACGGAGCACGUGAAAUUCCGUCGGAAUCUGGGAGGACCAUCUCCUAAGGCUAAAUACUCUCUAGUGACCGAUAGUGAACCAGUACCGUGAGGGAAAGGUGAAAAGCACCCCGGAAGGGGAGUGAAAUAGAACCUGAAACCGUGUGCUUACAAGUAGUCAGAGCCCGUUAAUGGGUGAUGGCGUGCCUUUUGUAGAAUGAACCGGCGAGUUACGAUUUGAUGCAAGGUUAAGCAGUAAAUGUGGAGCCGUAGCGAAAGCGAGUCUGAAUAGGGCGUUUAGUAUUUGGUCGUAGACCCGAAACCAGGUGAUCUACCCUUGGUCAGGUUGAAGUUCAGGUAACACUGAAUGGAGGACCGAACCGACUUACGUUGAAAAGUGAGCGGAUGAACUGAGGGUAGCGGAGAAAUUCCAAUCGAACCUGGAGAUAGCUGGUUCUCUCCGAAAUAGCUUUAGGGCUAGCCUCAAGUGAUGAUUAUUGGAGGUAGAGCACUGUUUGGACGAGGGGCCCCUCUCGGGUUACCGAAUUCAGACAAACUCCGAAUGCCAAUUAAUUUAACUUGGGAGUCAGAACAUGGGUGAUAAGGUCCGUGUUCGAAAGGGAAACAGCCCAGACCACCAGCUAAGGUCCCAAAAUAUAUGUUAAGUGGAAAAGGAUGUGGCGUUGCCCAGACAACUAGGAUGUUGGCUUAGAAGCAGCCAUCAUUUAAAGAGUGCGUAAUAGCUCACUAGUCGAGUGACACUGCGCCGAAAAUGUACCGGGGCUAAACAUAUUACCGAAGCUGUGGAUUGUCCUUUGGACAAUGGUAGGAGAGCGUUCUAAGGGCGUUGAAGCAUGAUCGUAAGGACAUGUGGAGCGCUUAGAAGUGAGAAUGCCGGUGUGAGUAGCGAAAGACGGGUGAGAAUCCCGUCCACCGAUUGACUAAGGUUUCCAGAGGAAGGCUCGUCCGCUCUGGGUUAGUCGGGUCCUAAGCUGAGGCCGACAGGCGUAGGCGAUGGAUAACAGGUUGAUAUUCCUGUACCACCUAUAAUCGUUUUAAUCGAUGGGGGGACGCAGUAGGAUAGGCGAAGCGUGCGAUUGGAUUGCACGUCUAAGCAGUAAGGCUGAGUAUUAGGCAAAUCCGGUACUCGUUAAGGCUGAGCUGUGAUGGGGAGAAGACAUUGUGUCUUCGAGUCGUUGAUUUCACACUGCCGAGAAAAGCCUCUAGAUAGAAAAUAGGUGCCCGUACCGCAAACCGACACAGGUAGUCAAGAUGAGAAUUCUAAGGUGAGCGAGCGAACUCUCGUUAAGGAACUCGGCAAAAUGACCCCGUAACUUCGGGAGAAGGGGUGCUCUUUAGGGUUAACGCCCAGAAGAGCCGCAGUGAAUAGGCCCAAGCGACUGUUUAUCAAAAACACAGGUCUCUGCUAAACCGUAAGGUGAUGUAUAGGGGCUGACGCCUGCCCGGUGCUGGAAGGUUAAGAGGAGUGGUUAGCUUCUGCGAAGCUACGAAUCGAAGCCCCAGUAAACGGCGGCCGUAACUAUAACGGUCCUAAGGUAGCGAAAUUCCUUGUCGGGUAAGUUCCGACCCGCACGAAAGGCGUAACGAUUUGGGCACUGUCUCAACGAGAGACUCGGUGAAAUCAUAGUACCUGUGAAGAUGCAGGUUACCCGCGACAGGACGGAAAGACCCCGUGGAGCUUUACUGUAGCCUGAUAUUGAAAUUCGGCACAGCUUGUACAGGAUAGGUAGGAGCCUUUGAAACGUGAGCGCUAGCUUACGUGGAGGCGCUGGUGGGAUACUACCCUAGCUGUGUUGGCUUUCUAACCCGCACCACUUAUCGUGGUGGGAGACAGUGUCAGGCGGGCAGUUUGACUGGGGCGGUCGCCUCCUAAAAGGUAACGGAGGCGCUCAAAGGUUCCCUCAGAAUGGUUGGAAAUCAUUCAUAGAGUGUAAAGGCAUAAGGGAGCUUGACUGCGAGACCUACAAGUCGAGCAGGGUCGAAAGACGGACUUAGUGAUCCGGUGGUUCCGCAUGGAAGGGCCAUCGCUCAACGGAUAAAAGCUACCCCGGGGAUAACAGGCUUAUCUCCCCCAAGAGUUCACAUCGACGGGGAGGUUUGGCACCUCGAUGUCGGCUCAUCGCAUCCUGGGGCUGUAGUCGGUCCCAAGGGUUGGGCUGUUCGCCCAUUAAAGCGGUACGCGAGCUGGGUUCAGAACGUCGUGAGACAGUUCGGUCCCUAUCCGUCGUGGGCGUAGGAAAUUUGAGAGGAGCUGUCCUUAGUACGAGAGGACCGGGAUGGACAUACCUCUGGUGUACCAGUUGUCGUGCCAACGGCAUAGCUGGGUAGCUAUGUGUGGACGGGAUAAGUGCUGAAAGCAUCUAAGCAUGAAGCCCCCCUCAAGAUGAGAUUUCCCAACUUCGGUUAUAAGAUCCCUCAAAGAUGAUGAGGUUAAUAGGUUCGAGGUGGAAGCAUGGUGACGUGUGGAGCUGACGAAUACUAAUCGAUCGAAGACUUAAUCAA